UGCAGGUCCGGUAAGGAGUCAUUGCCUGGAGACAUCCUGCUGACCUACCGACGAUGAUCAUCCUCAACAACCUGCUGGGAGAGCAGGUUGUCGAGAAUGAUCAUCGUCGGUAGGUCGGCAGCGGCGGCGCCCUCACACUGCUCGGCUAUGUUCGUGAGGUAUCCGCGCAGCUCUUUGUUCGACUUGUGGUCGACGACUCAACUCUUUGGUUCGUUGUUGGCUCCAGGCGAGGACCUGCAUGCAACGACGUCAUUAAUCGCUUAUCGAUAGUACAAACAGUCAAUGUUACAUACAAGAUCAUCAUCAGACGUAUUAUGUUUGUUGUUUGUUAGGUAUGAUGGAGUAUAAUCAAUAAAUGAUUACAUGUUGUAUUGAAAUCACA